ACCACACACCUGAAAUAAAGAUAUUGCAACAUUAACACCACUGUAUGUCUAUCGUUACAAACCAUCUACAAUACAUCUCUAAUAUCUAGUUUUCUGUUUACAAGACCUGAAUUUUGUGCUCUCCCGGUCGCGGAAACUGAUGACGAAAAAAGCUAAAUUUGCCGAUUUUUAAAUCGCUGCAGAAAAUUCCCUGAAAACGAUAGCCCCAAUUGCUACACUGUUCCAUACUCCAGUAACACUGUAAAAUCUGAAAAUAAGCUCAAAUAUAUGUGCCAUCCGUACCGUUUUUUCACUGUUCCAGUUUUCCUGAGGCCCCUGCUAAAAUGACAACCCCACUUUAAGCUAGCUCAGAGGAAGCAUGUAUACGCUCCUGCAAGUCAUUACGUCAUACUAUCAAGAUCAAGGCUACUCAACUGAUUUUUUUUAAAUAAGUGAAACUCAAUUCUAGCCGCUGAAACUUCAAUUCUAGCAAUUAUUAUUAUUUAGAAGUUCAAAUAUGCACUUCAUUCCGUAAAUUGCCUCUUAUUUGUAAAUUUCACCCCGGCCAAUUCGACACUAACAGCUCAAAACUGUUUACUGCCUCCAUAAACAACAGCAGUUGUUGAGAAAAAAAAAACAACUUAUAAUCGAUACAACAAUGUAUUUAAAUCGGUAAUAAGACAGCCUAACAGGAUGAGUACAGUCCAUGCGAAGGUUGUAGUGACAAUGGUGAAUUCAGUAUAGAUCAGAAAUGUGGUAACUCCGGUUACCCACUUCCAGAAAAGACGCCAGAAAGGGCGGUACUCCAUGGUAAUAUGUUUUCUGUCGGAAGUAAGAUUUCAUAUCAAUGUUACGAGGGGUAUGCUAUGAAUAGCACAGACAUAUCUAUAUCAACGUGUGAAGCUGGUGGAGCUUGGGGCUUAACUAACUUCAAGUGCUUACCCGAGGUUGCAUUCACUGCAGACGUACUAAGAUCGGAUGACACCUACUACAUGUUGGUGAGGAACAAAUACACUUGGGAUGAAGCUAAGUCAAACUGUGAAUGUCUUGGUGGAUAUUUGGCCGACAUAAAAUCACAACAAGAACAAGAUGUAAUAGAAAAGCUUUUUUUCUGGUAUUAGCCGAAGAGUUUGGAUAGGUGGCAAAAGCAAGCAGAACCUGGUGAAUACGUUUGUAUGGUUAGACGGUUCAGUCGUGAACAGUGAUUACGUAAACUGGAAAUCUGGUCAGCCUUACAACCCCGACGGAGGAAUAAGCUGUAUGGAUAUGAUUCGUAAUUGGAAUUACCAGUGGAAUGACGGGGCUUGUUAUCGUAAAUUCGACAGUGUUUGUGAAUUCAGAUAAAGCGUUCAGAAAUAUCAGCAUAUAUUUUGCGUGAUUACUUUAUUAACACUGACAAAGUGUACUUCAUAGUUUUACUUCCAGUACAUAGUUACAUAAUUAGACAACUUAUUUUGAAAAUAAAGCUCAGUAAUAAAAUGUGACAAAAUUAAACAUGUGCUCUGUUUAGUGUGAGUUUUGUACAACAGUCAGGUUGAAUAAUAAGUUUCAAUGGAUAUUUUUUCAUUUCGCUUAUAUUCUAUACACAGGCUGACAGUUUAUACAAGCAAAACAAUUUGAUAAUAUUGAAAAUGAGUUUAAUUACUAACUGAGCCUCAGAAGAAUUUACUUUGAAUGCGUUUCUCCUCAGUUCAAAUUUAUUUUAUAUUCUUUUCCACUCGGACAUAAACUCUGACAUUCAACUUCAAACCUACUGUCAAGUUUAGAUAUUUAAAAACUAUUACUGAGACUAUGAUACGUUUGUUCCUCAUAUUUGUUGUUGGCAAAUAAAUUAAAAAGCGUACUGCAAGUUAUUGACCGUUCAAAUAUAAUGCAAUUCGAAUACACAAUUCCAAGAGACUGACAUUAACUGUAUAAAUGCAAGAUAGCAAUAGCGCUACUUGACCUUUGUUGAAUAAACUUAAAAUGUGUCCAUGUCUUGAUAAAGGUGCACAGAAUUUGAAUAAUAUUAGUAUAUUUGCAUUUGGUAUUUCUCAAGAAUAUUGCGGAUUAAUCGAUAGAAAUCGGUCGUCCGAGGCUUAAACACGUGAUUUUAACAUUUUAAUUAUCACAGUGGAAAUUACUGGAAUUAAAACAUUUUCUGUGUCUUA